rnacentral:rRNA from 1 species
CACGUGGGUAACCUGCCUUAUAGUGGGGGAUAGCCUUUCGAAAGGAAGAUUAAUACCGCAUAAGAUUGUAGUAUCGCAUGAUAUAGCAAUUAAAGGAGCAAUCCGCUAUAAGAUGGACCCGCGUCGCAUUAGCUAGUUGGUGAGGUAACGGCUCACCAAGGCGACGAUGCGUAGCCGACCUGAGAGGAUGACCAGCCACACUGGAACUGAGACACGGUCCAGACUCCUACGGGAGGCAGCAUG